UACAGAGGGGGCAAGCGUUAUUCGGAAUUAUUGGGCGUAAAGGGCGCGUAGGCGGCCUGGCAAGUGGAAGGUGAAAUCCCUCGGCUUAACCGAGGAACUGCCUCCCAAACUGCUUGGCUUGAGACCGGGAGAGGUGAGUGGAAUUCCCAGUGUAGCGGUGAAAUGCGUAGAUAUUGGGAGGAACACCAGUGGCGAAGGCGGCUCGCUGGGCCACACCUGACGCUGAGACGCGAAAGCUAGGGGAGCGAACAGG
rnacentral:rRNA from 1 species